rnacentral:rRNA from 1 species
UUGCCCACCCACUGCGGUUAGACUGGGUGGGAUUUGGAAAUUAUCGGGUGGUAGUUAUAAAAAGAGGUCCUUGGAGGUUGUAUUUGAUGAGCUUGGGGGUGAAAUCUUGAAUUUUCGUUGUAUAUUCCCCUGGGGUGCCUAGGUAUAGAAGCUAUAAAGACUUAGGUUUAAACUAGGAUUAGAUACCCUAUUAUGCUAAGUGUGUAGAGUAAGAGCACUUGAGUAGUAGUAGAUAUGUUCUUGAAAUUUAAAGGAUUUGGCGGCAUUCAAGUCUAGUUAGAGGAACCUGCUCCGUGAACGAUAUGCCACGAAGUAUCUUACUUUGCUUAGUAUGUCAGUUUGUAUACCUCCAUUAUAUAAGUAUUGUUUUUAAAUAAAUAUUAGAACAGUCGGCUAUUCUAGCGUAUUAGGUCAAGGUGCAGCCUAUAGUGAAGAGGUUGUGGGUUACAUUGUAUUUUAUAUUUCGGAUAUUGGCUUGCAAAUGGUCAUUUGAAGGUGGAUUUAAUGGUAUGCUCUUUUUAACAAGUGGGGUUGAUAGUAAGCUCUAGGGUGUGUACAAAUUGCCCGUCGCUCUCAUGAUAAGUGAGAUAAGUCGUAACAAAAGUAGGG